GUGGUGCAUGGUUGUCGUCAGCUCGUGUCGUGAGAUGUUGGGUUAAGUCCCGCAACGAGCGCAACCCUUGAUCUUAGUUGCCAGCAUUCAGUUGGGCACUCUAAGGUGACUGCCGGUGACAAACCGGAGGAAGGUGGGGAUGACGUCAAAUCAUCAUGCCCCUUAUGACCUGGGCUACACACGUGCUACAAUGGGCAGAACAAAGGGCAGCGAAACCGCGAGGUUAAGCCAAUCCCACAAAUCUGUUCUCAGUUCGGAUCGCAGUCUGCAACUCGACUGCGUGAAGCUGGAAUCGCUAGUAAUCGCGGAUCAGCAUGCCGCGGUGAAUACGUUCCCGGGCCUUGUACACACCGCCCGUCACACCACGAGAGUUUGUAACAC
rnacentral:rRNA from 2 species